UGUUGGGGUGAGGAUUGAUUAUACGGAAUAUACAUGUCGAUUUAAAAAACAGACUACAAUUAUCUGACCAAUG
rfam:Daucus carota subsp. sativus cultivar DH1 chromosome 3, whole genome shotgun sequence.